ensembl:lncRNA
GUGGGUGGGUAGGAUGGGACUACAGGCAGGGAAUCAGGUGGGUGGGUAGGAUGGGACUACAGGCAGGGAGACAGGUAGGUGAUAGGAUGGGACUACAGGCAGGGAGACAGGUAGGUGGGUAGGAUGGGACUACAGGCAGGGAGACAGGUACGUGGGUAGGAUGGGACUACAGGCAGGGAGACAGGUAGGUGGGUAGGAUAGGACUACAGGCAGGGAGACAGGUGGGUGGGUAGGAUGGGACUACAGGCAGGGAGACAGGUACGUGGAUAAGAUGGGACUACAGGCAGGGAGACAGGUAGAUGGGUAGGAUGGGACUACAGGCAGGGAGACAGGUGGGUGGGUAGGAUGGGACUACAGGCAGGGAAUCAGGUGGGUGGGUAGGAUGGGACUACAGGCAGGGAGACAGGUAGGUGAUAGGAUGGGACUACAGGCAGGGAGACAGGUAGGUGGGUAGAAUGGGACUACAGUAAGGAAUACAGGUGGGUGGGCAGGAUG